ensembl:lncRNA
UUCACUUUCACAUAUACAUGCAUCGAUGCUCCACAUUCCAGUUCAGAUGGUGGCGGUAAUGCACUAAUAAGCUAGUCUGCCAACCGCCAAUAAACGGAAAGAAGAAGAAGGAGAAGUCGCUUUGUGGGAGGCAUGUUUGAGUAAGUAAAACUCCUAUCUGCUUUAGUUUCAGGUUGAAGGCAGUGAAUGAGGAUCGUGUUUCACAUCAUAAAUCAUAAACUCACUGAUCCUCAAACACACAUCUGAUGUGCCUGAAUCUGGAUCAUAUUCUGUUACAGAAACAGAGUUAUUAUGACACAAACAGCUUCAUGAAGAAACCGGUUUUAGAGAAGAAGAAAGAGCGAUGCAUGGGUUUGAGAUGAGUUAUAUGAUGUACAAUGUUUAUAAUGAUCGAAAGGUCAACAUGAGAGUUUUACCAAAUAAAUAAUGUUCACAGCAUCGUCAUGUAAACUAAACAUGUUUUAGUAACAGCGAUCACUGCUGAUGGGGAUCUUUAUAAUGAGAGAGACCAGUUUGCUGUUGUCACGGUUGGUAAACCGUGAUCUCUGGGUGUUUGCACUUUGUGGUGAAGUCUGUGUGUUUCGCGUCUGCACUGAUUAGUUUGUGGGCGUCUCCGUUAAUUGUCAUCAGCAGCAGCUGUCACUCAUUACUCAUUCUAUAUAUAUUGGCUUGUCUCACGUCUUGUGUUUGUGAGAUCGUUGUUUUAUGUUGCUUACCCUGUUUGUUUGGCUUCAGUGUUGUCUGCGUUUGGAUGUUCGUGUUUUCCCGGAACCUCAUCCACUCUACGCACUUCCACUCAGCCACAAAUACUUACUUUCGGCUCUAUUCCCCGCAGUUCCUGUGCCAUCCUCUCCUGCUGCCUUCUCACCUUCAUCAUCCGGAUUCCUCACCACCUCACCACCAUCUUGGAUUGUUGUCUUCCCAGCAUCAUUGUCUUUUUCCUGUUUGUUUAUUUAUUUUCAUUAAAUCGUCUAACUCGCUAUUGUUUCCAGUCCUUCCUUCACCCCACCAUCACAGCUGUAACGAGACAGACUUUAUCUAAUAUCUCAUCACUUAAGAACAGUGCUACACUGGAUAAUGUGACUUUCUUUGAUGGUGUAGAAAGGGGAACUAUCUCUGCCUCAACUACUGUGAUGAGCAAUAACAGCAGCGUUAUUCAUCCUAGAAGCAAACCGUAUUUCAUGCCCAGAUACAUAGGCCCACACAUACUGUCAGGCUGGUCACAGUGUCAGGUUGAUAAACUCAUUCUGGAACUCAGACGUUUCUUCUCUUUUUUAGCUCAACACAAGGCAGUGGUGCAGGAAGAGGAAUAGGGAGAAACAUCUUUGGCCAGAGAGCUCUUUUGAAUGUCCCGGGUCAACGUGGUGGUAACAUCACAAUAUAUGCUGCAAUAACACAGAAUGGGGUCCUCCACUGCCAUGCCAAAAUAGGUCCUUACAACACCGACCACAUACCUUUUUAGACAGACUAUCCAGUGGACAGAAUAGGUGUCUGGUUCCAUUAUUCCAGAACCUCCCACAACACUCUCCCUUCCUUUCCUUUUCCCCUUCUGCAUGGCAGUGGAAGGUUUAUGAUCUCUGACCCUAUGUUAUACCCCUCAUUCAAGCAAUGGAGGAGGCCUGUGACCAAGUCGACGCCGCAGCUGUGCAAGGAUGGAUUCGACAUUCAAGACAGUUCUUCCCGCGUUGUCUUGCUAAUGAGGAUAUUGCUUGUGAUGUUGAUGAAACUCUCUGGCCAGAUCCAGCUAGACGAAGAGAUAAUGUAUAGUAUGUUUACUGUAGUAUUUUCUGUACAAUAUUGUCAUUUUUUUCAGAUUUUUUUAAUGUUUGUUAUUGUUAUUUACUGUAAUUGUAACCUGUACUGAAUACAGUAUUUUACGUUUGUCUGUUGUUUGCUGAGCUAACAGUGUUAUGCACACUACUGUAGUAGCAUGACAACUGGGACAUGUUUUGUUGUGAUACUCCAUGUUGACUGAUUUGGGUAUAUGGAGAGAAAUCAAUGAUAUUUUCCUCAGUCUGCAGCAUUGGUCUUGUGUAGCGUUUGGUGAACUAUUGUAUAGUUGCACUUUCUCUGUGUACUUCAUUUACAGUACUCUAAUCACUGAGAAUUAGACUUGCUAAAAGUGUUUUAGGUUAGCAACAGCAGUGUGUAACUGGUUCAAAAAGAUUAAAGUUAUAUGAAAUGUGUGUGUUUCGUAUGGUAACAAAAUAUUGUUUUUAUAAAGUUGUGUAUAGUUUUGACAAAAGUGUUCCAUUUUGCAAAUGAUCUAAAGUGUUGUGCUACUUUGGUGUAGGGUUGUGUUAAUUGUGUGUAGUGUUUUAACAAACCGGGCCCUGUUUUCAAAAUUGUGCUUAAGCAAUCAUGAAAAACUGUAAACACUUAAAAAUGUAAAAUGGGUUUCAGUUGAAGGUAACCAAAUUACAGAAAACAAUGGAUUUUUAUAUUGUCUAGAACUGAAACAUGACAAGAAGCAGUUUUUGUAAAGUUAACAACUGUUAGUAUUUUGACAGUCACUGUGCUAUGAUUGACUAUCUAGUGCUAAUGUUUUGACUGAAUUACUCGAUUCGAUUCGAUUCGAUUCAGGUUUGCUGUGUUUUGAUAGAGAUACCGUACAUAUGUAGAAAAAGGUAUACAGCAUUUUGAAAUGUAGAGUUUGUAUUUAUUUAACAAAAUGUGGUUUUGGCCAGAAAAUUAACCUGUUGGCUAAUUGUGUGAUGUAUUAAACAUUACAUUAACAUUAAUUAGGCUAUAUGUUUUAUCAUCUUUCAUCUAUUUUGUAACCAAUUCAAGUGUAACCGUAAUGAAAUACUGUUAUUAAACCAAUUCAGUUAUAAAUAAUGUGCUUACUGUUCUUGAUUCAACAUUAAUCUAUUGCACAAUAUAGUCACUCAAUAGCAAUGCUCUCCCACAUAUUUAUUUAUUCUAACUGUACUUAUUUCUGUCGUUGGUAUAAGUGGCAGUGGGGGGUAAUAGACAAGAAAUGUACAGUUUUUCAUGUUAAUCUGAGUUUUUGUUCUAAGCGGAUUCUAUUUUAGAAACAGGUACGUCGCAUCUGGAACAACAACAUACAGAAUGUGACAGUGAUAAACUCAUGAAACUGAUCAUGUGCUUCAUUUAAUGUUAAAAGCAUUCAAUGUGAGGUUGAAUAUCAUAUCGCAUAAACUUUAUAACCAUAAUGAAAGCAAUUGCAAUAGAUAGUUAUGAUAUAUCAUUUAGAUACUACUGUCAUUUUCUUUUUCUUUUUUUUGUAUAUUUAGCUUUUUCAUUAAAGUUUAUUUUUGUCUAGUCUGUCAUUUUAUUAUAUAUAGUUUUUAAUAUAUAUAACUAUAACUAUAUAUAUAUACAUAUAUAUAUAUAUACUGUAUAAUAUUCACUGUGAAGGUAAAAUGACAUAAAUGUUAAAAUGGCCUCAUAUUUACCAUCAACUUUACUGUUACAGUUUUUCUUGAUUGCUUAAACACAUUUCUUGAAACUAUGCCUUGUAUUCUCAAAACAGUAAACACAAAUCCAUAACUUCUAACUCAGUUCCCCAAACGUCCUAUAUUCAGUUCAGAAUGAAGCUCUCCACUCAAAACAACUCAAUCUUGCUGAAAAACCAAACUUUGCUCUCAGAUAUGACACACAAACAGACAAAAACACACACACUUCAACACAGUUUUACACACCGAUGAGAUCAAUUCAAAACAAUACUACAAAAAACGGUAAUAAGUGUGGUACUCCCCAAAUGUUUUAUUCCUUAAUUUAAUGUACUGUAGAGUACAGUACAAUACAGAAAACAACAACAACAUAAUUAUUCUGCCCCAGUAUCCCGUUUUUGGUCCGGAACAGGCCAAAGAACCUCUUCAACAUCACAGACUUUACUGGGCUUGGACAGCCAGCGGGGGUAAAAUCCUCUCGCAUGUCUGAUGUCCUUGUGUCAUUGUUCACAAACAAGAGAGUCAAAAUGCUUAGUCAUGUUGUCGGUAUGACACUGCACUCUGUUAGUAUUACCUGAUGUAAACUGUGACAACUGGAUGACAGUUACUGUACUGAAAUGCAGAAGGCUGCUCUUCUUAUGAAUUCCAUUUAUCAUUUCAAAAGUACUAAUGUACACAUUACUGUAUGUGGGAUAUUGAUUGAAAAAGACGGAUAUGAUUCACAGUUACACUUUACUAGUGGUCUGAACACCCCCCACCCCCACACACACACACAAAAAACCUAUUACAAUGUCAUUGUGAAAUAGAAAAGAGAAAGAAAUAUGUGCACAAAGGCAAAAAUAAAAAUAAGAAAGUCCUCUGUCAGAAUUUGUAACUCUUGUGUUGUCCUCUGUCUAUAUAUGCUUUCCAAUUGAAGGUUCAUGAGAUGUACCUUUGAGCUAUUUCAUAGAAUUAUAUAAUAAAUUUUGAGCAACAUGACAAUAUAGCAGCUGAUAAUGUAGGAAACCACAGACAAAUGUACAUAAUCAGUUGCAUGAAUAAGCAGUCGCAACUUGAUCAAAAAAUCUAAACUUUUUAUGAUGUGCACAAGUGACUCAAUAAAAUGGAGGUUGAAAAAGUAGUUCUGAGAAUUUACAGUUUUUCUCGAUUGCUUAAACACAUUUCUUGAAACUAUGCCUCAUAUACUCAAAACAGUAAACACAAAUCCAUAACGUCUCACCCAAUUACCCAAACAACCUAUUUUCAGGUCAGAAUGAAGCUCUACACUCUAAACCAUUCACUCUUGCUGAAAAUCCAAACUUUGCCCUCAGACAUCACACACAAGCCCUCAAAAACACACACACUACAACAUAGUCUUACACACUGGUGAGAUAAGUUCAAAACAAAACUACAAAAAACAAAAACCAGUAAUUGUGGUUCUCCCCCUCAAGGAACAUUUCACAUGAUGUACACGUGUAUACAUUUGCACAUUUUCUAUUCCUUUAUGUACUGUACAGUACAAUACACCAAACAACAACAAAAACAUAUUCUGCCCCAGCAUCACAUCUUUGGUCUGGGACAGACAUCACAGGCUAUACUGGCCCGAUCCAGGCAGCGGGGGGGAAAUCUGUCACACAUCAACUGUAAUGUCUAGUCAGGCUUCUUCCGUUCCAUCGUCUCUGUGCCCUACACAAAUAGAAGUACUGAUUUUACAAAAGUACUUUCUACAAAAUGGAAGCAGACAGAAACUGUAUCUGUUGAUGCAUGUGUUGUAACAGAGCACAGCUCUCAAACGUUACAGUAGAGUACACUGAGGUACACUUCCCUGAAUGUUCUUAUGAUCGAGGCGACGGAGAAGCAACUUAAGUUUGGCUGAACUCAUUGCCCAGCCUCAAUCAUAGUCAUACCAUGGACAAGAACAUGGUCAACUAGUGGCACAAAUUUCAUCUGAGACUCCUUGUCUCCUUGCCCCUCAUCCUCGUCCUAGUCCUCUUCCUCUUCCUUCACCUCUUCCUCCACUCCUUACUGCUCUUGCUCAUCCUCUUCCUCCUCUUCCUCCUCUCUGGUGUCCUCUACCUUUU